rnacentral:tRNA from 1 species
GCCUGGGUAGCUCAGUGGUUAAAGCCUCUGUCUUCAGCUCAGGUCAUGAUCCCAGAGUCCUGGGAUCGAGUCCCACAUCAGGCU